rnacentral:misc_RNA from 1 species
AGUGGACGUGAAAUCUCAGCAUCAAGAGAGCGAAGUGCAGAAGCUGUCGGAUGAGCUAAUGGCUUAUGAGAAUUACAUGAAAUUCUAUCAAAUUCCGUAUCUGGAUGGACAAUCAGCUGCACCAAAUACUGCUCAGGAAAGCUUGGUUGAGAAUCUCUGGAACUUCGAUGACGAUGGUGUUGCUUCUCCAGUCACCUCCGCUGCUCUUUAACGACGGCGGAAGCAAUUUGGUUAUCGUAUAUUUGAUGCCUAGUAUCAUGCUUUGUUUUGUAAAAAGAUUACAUUUAUGUUCAAAAUGUAAUUUUUAUGUUUAAAUAUUAAAGCGUUUGUACUUGGAUAAUUCUCCUUAUUA